AAUCAAUCAAGUUUCAAGCUGCUUACCUUCUACUGAAAGAAAAUUAGGGGCCGACGUUGAAAGUGGAAGGUUAGCAAUGAAUUAAUUGAGAAUGGGAAACAAAUGACAAGGCAAUCAGGGUAUGGGUUUACAAAGUAUAUCCUAGGUAUUCGUUUUUCUGUACGUAAUCUGUUGACUGUACAUGGAUAUUUCUGUCGAUGGUGUGCCUAUGUUUUGUGUGAUUUGGAACAUAUUACAUACAACUCACUGACUUCAGUCUUUCUGCUCAAACACCUUAAAUUGUCAAUACAACAAUGGGGUAUUUUUUAUAGCUAUC